GGCCGGGAUAGCCCAGGGAAACCUGGAUUAAUACCGGAUGAGACGGGGACCCGCGAUGGCGGGAUCCGGGAAAGGCGCUGCGGCGCCGCCGGGGGAUGAGUCUGCGUCCCAUUAGCUAGACGGCGGGGUAACGGCUCACCGUGGCGACGAUGGGUAGCCGGCCUGAGAGGGUGGACGGCCACAUUGGAACUGAGACACGGUCCAGACUCCUACGGGAGGCAGCAGCUAAGAAUCUUCCGCAAUGGGCGAAAGCCUGACGGAGCGACGCCCGCGUGAACGAAGAAGGCCGUGAGGUUGUAAAGUUCUUUUCGGGAGGGGGAACAACCGUGGCAGGGAAUGGCCGCGGGAUGACGUGAAUCCCGGAAUAAGCCCCGGCUAACUACGUGCCAGCAGCUGC
rnacentral:rRNA from 1 species